UUGCCUUAAACUAAUGAGUAAGGAAAACAAAGUGGACGGUGAGAACCGGCCGCAGCGUCCUGACUCCGGUCGUAGGAGGCGCAAGAAUUUAUGGAGGGGUAAUAGGCUGGCCGGGCGUUGACGCUGCUUACUUUGCAGAACUCGCUUGCGCGGGCCUCCCGC